rnacentral:rRNA from 1 species
GAUCAUGGCUCAGGAUGAACGCUAGCUACAGGCUUAACACAUGCAAGUCGAGGGGCAUCAGGGUGUAGCAAUACACCGCUGGCGACCGGCGCACGGGUGAGUAACACGUAUCCAACCUGCCCUUUACUCGGGGAGUAGCCUUUCGAAAGAAAGAUUAAUACCCGAUGGCAUAACAUGACCUCCUGGUUUUGUUAUUAAAGAAUUUCGGUAGAGGAUAGGGGAUGCGUUCCAUUAGGCAGUUGGCGGGUAACGG